rnacentral:ribozyme from 16 species
AGAAAAUAAAUGAAUUAUAUUUUGCUUUUUUCACCUUUCUCACUGUUCCGCUUGGUAGAAAAUUUCAAAAAAAAAAUAAGCAAUUUUAGUUCGGGACAAUUUUU